rnacentral:rRNA from 1 species
UACGUAGGGGGCAAGCGUUGUCCGGAUUUAUUGGGCGUAAAGAGCUCGUAGGUGGUUCGGUAAGUCGGAUGUGAAAUCUCCAGGCUCAACCUGGAGGGGUCAUUCGAUACUGCCGUGACUAGAGGUCGGUAGGGGAGUGUGGAAUUCCUGGUGGAGCGGUGAAAUGCGCAGAUAUCAGGAGGAACACCCGUAGCGAAGGCGGCACUCUGGGCCGAUACUGACACUGAGGAGCGAAAGCGUGGGGAGCGAACAGGAUUAGAAACCCCAGUAGU